UACAAAUGAUGAUGUUCCACUUCUGGUCCGUGUUUCUGAGUCCUGAUUGUUAUGGAAGUUCUGAGCAA
ensembl:snoRNA SNORD18 Small nucleolar RNA SNORD18